rnacentral:rRNA from 1 species
GAUGAACGCUAGCGGGAGGCCUAACACAUGCAAGCCGAGCGGUAUUGUUUCUUCGGAAAUGAGAGAGCGGCGUACGGGUGCGUAACACGUGUGCAACCUGCCUUUAUCUGGGGGAUAGCCUUUCGAAAGGAAGAUUAAUACUCCAUAAUAUAUUGAACGGCAUCGUUUAAUAUUGAAAGCUCCGGCGGAUAGAGAUGGGCACGCGCAAGAUUAGCUAGUUGGUGAGGUAACGGCUCACCAAGGCGAUGAUCUUUAGGGGGCCUGAGAGGGUGAUCCCCCACACUGGUACUGAGACACGGACCAGACUCCUACGGGAGGCAGCAGUGAGGAAUAUUGGUCAAUGGGUGCAAGCUUGAACCAGCCAUCCCGCGUGAAGGACGACUGCCCUAUGGGUUGUAAACUUCUUUUGUAUAGGGAUAAACCUACCCUCGUGAGGGUAGCUGAAGGUACUAUACGAAUAAGCACCGGCUAACUCCGUGCCAGCCGCCGCUGUAAUAC